GCUAUGAUGAACUGAACAGCCCUGAUCUGCUGAAAUGAUAGAGCUUGUUUGUCCUCUAAGAAGUUCUGAGCAA